UACAGAGGUCUCAAGCGUUUGUUCGGAUUCAUUGGGCGUAAAGGGUGUGUAGGUGGCGCCGUAAGUCGGGGUGUGAAAUCUCGGGGCUUAACUCCGAAACUGCAUUCGAUACUGCGGUGCUUGAGGACUGGAGAGGAGACUGGGAAUUCAUGGUGUAGCAGUGAAAUGCGUAGAGAUCAUGAGGAAGACCAGUGGCGAAGGCGGGUCUCUGGACAGUUCCUGACGCUGAGGCACGAAGGUCAGGGGAGCAAACGGG
rnacentral:rRNA from 1 species